GAUGAACGCUGGCGGCGUGCCUAACACAUGCAAGUCGAACGGACAGACGAGAAGCUUUGUUGUCUGAUGUUAGCGUCGCACGGGGGUGUGACAUGUGUAGGACCUACCUAUAUGGCUGGGAUUACUUCGUGAAAACGUAGCUAAAUCCGGAUAAUCGUCUGAACCGCAAGGUGCGAAAGUGAAAGGCGUUCUUCCUUUCGCUGUGAGCUGGUUCGGCGCUGCAUUAGCUAGUUGGUAAGGUCACGGCUUCCCAAGGCAACGAUGCAUAGCCGACGUGAGAGGGUGAUCGGCCACACUGGAACUGAGACACGGUCCAGACUCCUACGGGAGGGAGCAGUAGGGAAUCUUCCACAAUGGGCGAAAGCCUGACGGAGCAAUGCCGCGUGAAUGAUGAAGGCCUUCGGAUCGUAAAACUCUGUUAUUAGGGAAGAACAGAUGUGUAUGUAAACGUGCACAUCUUGACGGUACCUAAUCAGGAAGCACCGGCUAACUACGUG
rnacentral:rRNA from 1 species